rnacentral:rRNA from 1 species
GGCGGUUAACAAAGAGAGGCAAGACCGCGAGGUGGAGCAAAUCUCAAAAAACCGUCCCAGUUCGGAUCGCAGGCUGCAACCCGCCUGCGUGAAGUUGGAAUCGCUAGUAAUCGCGGAUCAGCAUGCCGCGGUGAAUACGUUCCCGGGCCUUGUACACACCGCCCGUCACACCAUGAGAGUCGGGAACACCCAAAGUCCGUAGUCUAACCGCAAGGAGGGCGCGGCCUAAGGUGGGUUCGAUAAUUGGGGUGAAGUCGUAACAAGGUAAC